CUGCGAAAUUUCUUUACUCUCACGGUCACCGGGAGUCCAUUUCCCAUUCUGAAGACUCGUAUGUCGUCUCCCUCGAUCCGGGCUCCUUUAUGUUCAUUUAUUAGCUCUCGCCGAUCAGCCUAUAUGCCUUGUACAGAAAGCCUCCACCGACCAUUGUUGGAAGUUAGGGAACCGGUCGGCCGUUCUCAGGGAGACAACAAAGCGGAAGCUCUCCGCCUUCUCCUCCGUCGCCAUGAUUUGGGUGACUAUGUCCAAUUGUUGUCGUUGAUUCCGGUGAUGUAGGACUCUCGUGACCAGAAAGAUGUG
rnacentral:lncRNA from 1 species